AAAUUUAGUGUUGUUGUCUUGUUCUGCCAGUCCAGCGGACAUAUGGGAGCUUGCUCCCUGAUGUUAGCGGCGGACGGGUGAUUAACACAGUGGGUAACCUGCCUGUAAGACUGGGAUAACUCCGGGAAACCGGGGCUAAUACCGGAUGCUUGUUUGAACCGCAUGGUUCAAACAUAAAAGGUGGCUUCGGCUACCACUUACAGAUGGACCCGCGGCGCAUUAGCUAGUUGGUGAGGUAAUGGCUCACCAAGGCGACGAUGCGUAGCCGACCUGAGAGGGUGAUCGGCCACACUGGGACUGAGACACGGCCCAGACUCCUACGGGAGGCAGCAGUAGGGAAUCUUCCGCAAUGGACGAAAGUCUGACGGAGCAACGCCGCGUGAGUGAUGAAGGUUUUCGGAUCGUAAAGCUCUGUUGUUAGGGAAGAACAAGUACCGUUCGAAUAGGGCGGUACCUUGACGGUACCUAACCAGAAAGCCACGGCUAACUACGUGCCAGCAGCCGCGGUAAUACGUAGGUGGCAAGCGUUGUCCGGAAUUAUUGGGCGUAAAGGGCUCGCAGGCGGUUUCUUAAGUCUGAUGUGAAAGCCCCCGGCUCAACCGGGGAGGGUCAUUGGAAACUGGGGAACUUGAGUGCAGAAGAGGAGAGUGGAAUUCCACUUGUAGCGGUGAAAUGCGUAGAGAUGUGGAGGAACACCAGUGGCGAAGGCAACUCUCUGGUCUGUAACUGACGCUGAGGAGCGAAAGCGUGGGGAGCGAACAGGAUUAGAUACCCUGGUAGUCCACGCCGUAAACGAUUGAGUGCUAAGUGUUAGGGGGGUUUCCGCCCCUUAGUGCUGCACAUAACGCAUUAAGCACUCCGCCUGGGGAAUUACGGUCCCAAAACUGAAACUCAAAGGGAAUUUGACGGGGGGCCCCGCACAAGCGGGGGAGCAUGUGGGUUUAAUUUCAAUGCAAUCGCGAAAGAAUCUUACCAGGGCUUAUGAACUCUCUCUGAAAUAUCCCUAAAAAAUAUGACGUU
rnacentral:rRNA from 1 species